rnacentral:rRNA from 1 species
CAAUAGCGUAUAUUAAAGUUGUUGCAGUUAAAAAGCUCGUAGUUGGAUUUCUGGUGGGAGCGAUCGGUCUGGCGCUUAGCGCGAGUACUUGCAUCGUCUCCGGCCGUCCUUGGGGAGAGUCUGUCUGGCAUUAGGUUGUCGGGCAGAGGAUCUUCAUCGUUUACUGUGAAAAAAUUAGAGUGUUCAAAGCAGGCUUAUGCCGUUGAAUAUAUUAGCAUGGAAUAAUAAGAUAGGACUUUGGUACUAUUUUGUUGGUUUGCGCACCAAAGUAAUGAUUAAUAGGGACAGUUGGGGGUAUUCGUAUUCCGUUGUCAGAGGUGAAAUUCUUGGAUUUACGGAAGACGAACUACUGCGAAAGCAUUUACCAAGGAUGUUUUCAUUAA